AGAGUUUGAUCCUGGCUCAGGAUGAACGCUGGCGGCGUGCUUAACACAUGCAAGUCGAACGGGAAACCUUUUAUUGAAGCUUCGGCAGAUUUAGCUGGUUUCUAGUGGCGGACGGGUGAGUAACGCGUGGGUAACCUGCCUUAUACAGGGGGAUAACAACCAGAAAUGGCUGCUAAUACCGCAUAAGCGCACAGGACCGCAUGGUCCGGUGUGAAAAACUCCGGUGGUAUAAGAUGGACCCGCGUUGGAUUAGCUAGUUGGCAGGGUAACGGCCUACCAAGGCGACGAUCCAUAGCCGGCCUGAGAGGGUGAACGGCCACAUUGGGACUGAGACACGGCCCAGACUCCUACGGGAGGCAGCAGUGGGGAAUAUUGCACAAUGGGGGAAACCCUGAUGCAGCGACGCCGCGUGAAGGAAGAAGUAUCUCGGUAUGUAAACUUCUAUCAGCAGGGAAGAUAGUGACGGUACCUGACUAAGAAGCCCCGGCUAACUACGUGCCAGCAGCCGCGGUAAUACGUAGGGGGCAAGCGUUAUCCGGAUUUACUGGGUGCAAAGGGAGCGCAGGCGGGCGAUCAAGUUGGAAGUGAAAUCCAUGGGCUCAACCCAUGAACUGCUUUCAAAACUGAUUGUCUUGAGUAGUGCAGAGGUAGGCGGAAUUCCCGGUGUAGCGGUGGAAUGCGUAGAUAUCGGGAGGAACACCAGUGGCGAAGGCGGCCUACUGGGCACCAACUGACGCUGAGGCUCGAAAGUGUGGGUAGCAAACAGGAUUAGAUACCCUGGUAGUCCACACCGUAAACGAUGAUUACUAGGUGUUGGAGGAUUGACCCCUUCAGUGCCGCAGUUAACACAAUAAGUAAUCCACCUGGGGAGUACGACCGCAAGGUUGAAACUCAAAGGAAUUGACGGGGGCCCGCACAAGCAGUGGAGUAUGUGGUUUAAUUCGACGCAACGCGAAGAACCUUACCAAGUCUUGACAUCCUGCGACGGACAUAGAAAUAUGUUUUUCCUUCGGGACGCAGAGACAGGUGGUGCAUGGUUGUCGUCAGCUCGUGUCGUGAGAUGUUGGGUUAAGUCCCGCAACGAGCGCAACCCUUAUGGUCAGUUACUACGCAAGAGGACUCUGGCCAGACUGCCGUUGACAAAACGGAGGAAGGUGGGGAUGACGUCAAAUCAUCAUGCCCUUUAUGACUUGGGCUACACACGUACUACAAUGGCGUUAAACAAAGAGAAGCAAGACCGCGAGGUGGAGCAAAACUCAGAAACAACGUCCCAGUUCGGACUGCAGGCUGCAACUCGCCUGCACGAAGUCGGAAUUGCUAGUAAUCGCAGAUCAGCAUGCUGCGGUGAAUACGUUCCCGGGCCUUGUACACACCGCCCGUCACACCAUGAGAGCCGGGGGGACCCGAAGUCGGUAGUCUAACCGCAAGGAGGACGCCGCCGAAGGUAAAACUGGUGAUUGGGGUGAAGUCGUAACAAGGUA
rnacentral:rRNA from 1 species